GAAAGCCCCGCUCCAUAGGCCAGACUGUCCCAUUUCGGUCCCUGAAAAAGGCCAUGCGCUUGAAUGCAGCCCACGAAUUGAGACACAGCAAAACGGGGAGAAAAAAAACACUGCAUGCCUUUAUUUUGAAAUCGACUACCGGAAGUAUCGUGUGUACUGGUUUUAAAGGACUUGACACAGUGAUAGGCAGUUCAGCGCUCCAUGUUGCGGCGCUGCGUGGCACUGUGCACCGACUGGGCAGUGGAUGCACACAAACGCACGUACGCGCGCGUACACACGCACACACACACUCGCACACUCACGCGCGCGCACGCAUGACUAGUUGUGAAUGGCCGACGAGGCUUGGCACGUUUCGUUUGCGUGGCGAGAAGUAGCCGUCGGUCCGGACGCCUCUACCUGCUGCAGACCGUGCCCGCGCCGCGCACACCCAUGGGUGUCGCUGAUGUGACCGCCUCCUGCGUCGGGACCGAACGGGGCCGCUUCGAUCGGCGCGGUAGUUAUUUUCAGAGCCGCUCGCUCCAGCUAUUCGGGACCGACUGGAAACGUGCGGGCCGGGCGCGCUGAGUCGGAUUGGGGAGCCGCACCGGAGCGCUGCAGCAAGACGCGGUACCGGAGCCCGAGCAGACGCGGUACCGCAGCCGCAGCGGACGAGGAAGAGGAGGAAGCGCGGAUGUGAUGCCAACAAUUGGCCCGAAAAAAAAAGGGUCAACUCGAGGAAAGAGCGUUAGCCAGGCUCUAACCAAUCGGAUGCUCCGGGCUGUAGAUCCCAACCGGGUGCCGGAGGGGCUGAUGAUGAAAGCGUGAUCAGAAGAAGGCCGUCGCUCCCCGGUGGCGUGUGUGUGUGUGUGUGUGUGUGUGUGUGUGUGUGUGUGUGUGUGUGUGUGUGUGUGUGUGUGUGUGUGUGUGUGUGUGUGUGCUGCAGCCCACAGCCACUGACGAUGAGCCGUGUCAAAUCUGACACACGGAAACACACACAAACGGCAACUCUGACUGCCGGUUGUGACGAAAAACCAAUUUACCAGGCAAGAAAAAUUCUGUUUGUGAAUUGUGGGGGUUGCUGUCCUUCAUCUGGUUGCUUUAGCGUCUCUUCCGUCACGCGUUGGGGGGGAAGCGGGCUCCCGUUCGGCCUCUGUUAGGACUUGUUGUCACAAAUCAGGGAUUUCGAGCCGAUGAAAGAGUUUAUUGUAGUUGAGUAGGCGGAAUGCACGAGGAGCAUAAUGCAGGUGGGAGGCACAUUUCUCUCGAACGCAGAAGCUUUGGCAUCAAGACGGACGGAUGAAGGACUGAGGAACGCUCGAGGACCUUUUUGAUCGUCAACGUGCGCCGUGGUGUCGUCUAAUGAGGGAACACUCGGGCAGACCUACACGUGUAGCACAUACACCCCCCCCCUCUCACAGAGACCUCUAUGCCUGGUAGGGAUGCCUCGGGCUUAGUCAUGCGUUCCCGUCACUGCACUGCACGUCUGAACGACCCGGUGAUCUCAUACCCCUGCUCGCCAUGUUUUGCUUAUUGGGCAGUUAAAUCACGAAACGACACCCAGCCUAAAUGUCGUGAUCAGUAAGUAAUGGAAGAUGGCAGAACAUGGAUUGUGUUUUGUAAUUGGAAUGUAUAAGUAAAGUCUACACGACAUGAAGAAAACAAUCUGAUGUCGCUUGGACCCGUUACAUUAAUUCUCCUUAUAAUUAACGUAACGGCAGCAGAGCUGUACUGCAGCACGAGAGACGCCGAAAAAAAGCCUCCAGCCCUCAAAAAGAAGAUCCCUUCAGAUGUUGUAUAAAAAGUUGGGGGGAAAAAAUGGAGCAGCACAGUGACCGUAUGAAGUAGUGUGUCGUGUCAAAGGGGUUGAUCGCUACUUGUCCGUUUCACGUUGCUAAGAAACACGCCAGGAAGGAAUAAUUGAACAUGUGCUCUUUGGUGAUUUAUGCGUUUGUCCAAUUACGGGCUGUUUGGACUGAUUCAGAAAUGAAGCUGAAUAAAACUGUACAUUUGUUUUUUUUUUAAAUUAGAGCCACAUUGUUUCUAUUGGUUUUGCCUUCACACAGACACGUCCUCACUGUGCACUGAGACGUCCUACUUUAUCUUAUAAGGUUCAUUUGUUGGCCUCGUCCUUCAGGUUGGGAUACGAUAAUCACUGAACAUUUAAAGGAUUUGAGAGGCUUUCUUUUGGGGGCCGUUAGUCAUAUCAGAAGCGUUGUGUUUGUCUUGAGUUAUUGAUUUAUUUUUCCAUUUGAAUGACAAAAGCACACGGAGAAGCCCAUUGUGUUAACGGAUCAAUAAUUGUCUUUGCAUGUGAGUGAAGUAACUAGGAUCUCUGCCAUCGUUAAUCCUCAAACGGGACAGAAUCUAUCCAACAGGCUUCAAUUGUCCAACAUGAUGCCACGUCCUC
ensembl:lncRNA